rnacentral:rRNA from 1 species
GACGAACGCUGGCGGCGUGCCUAAUACAUGCAAGUAGAACGCUGAAGGAGGAGCUUGCUUCUCUGGAUGAGUUGCGAACGGGUGAGUAACGCGUGGGUAACCUGCCUGGUAGCGGGGGAUAACUAUUGGAAACGAUAGCUAAUACCGCAUAAUAGUAGAUGUUGCAUGACAUUUGCUUAAAAGGUGCAAUUGCAUCACUACCAGAUGGACCUGCGUUGUAUUAGCUAGUUGGUGGGGUAACGGCUCACCAAGGCGACGAUACAUAGCCGACCUGAGAGGGUGAUCGGCCACACUGGGACUGAGACACGGCCCAGACUCCUACGGGAGGCAACAGUAGGGAAUCUUCGGCAAUGGACGGAAGUCUGACCGAGCAACGCCGCGUGAGUGAAGAAGGUUUUCGGAUCGUAAAGCUCUGUUGUAAGAGAAGAACGAGUGUGAGAGUGGAAAGUUCACACUGUGACGGUAUCUUACCAGAAAGGGACGGCUAACUACGUGCCAGCAGCCGCGGUAAUACGUAGGUCCCGAGCGUUGUCCGGAUUUAUUGGGCGUAAAGCGAGCGCAGGCGGUUAGAUAAGUCUGAAGUUAAAGGCUGUGGCUUAACCAUAGUACGCUUUGGGAAACUGUUUAACUUGAGUGCAAGAGGGGAGAGUGGAAUUCCAUGUGUAGCGGUGAAAUGCGAGAUAUAUGGAGGAAACCGGUGGCGAAGCGCUCUCUGUCUUUUAACUGACACUCAGGCUCGAAAGCGUGGGGAGCGAACGAGAUUAAUACAUACAAACGAAAGUCUAAAUCGCAGGAAGGUGUGGCUAGGGGGAGCGUGCGACGCCAAGGGGGGCGGUACCGUGCGUUUGGGCCCGGCGGAAAAAGAGAUAAUACGAAGUGAGCGGACGCCAUUUACAACACAAAAUCCACUCAGUGGUGUCCUUCGUGUAAGAAUAAUAUAAG